rnacentral:lncRNA from 1 species
UGUCUAUGUUGCCUUCUUGAGCAUAUCUGUAUAUAAGUAAAAUAAUAUUAUGCAUUAUAGGGUUAAUGGUAUUAUAUGUUUAUGAAAUGAAUAAUUGGGCAAAUCUCAUUGUUAAGAACAUGUGAACCAUAGAGUGUGGACCAAGAACCCUAUGAAUGUGUGAAUUUUACUGUGGACUAUGACAAUAGUAAACUUGGUGACAUUAUGACUAGAAGCAUUGGUUAGCAUCAAUAUUGGAACUGUAAAACUAGUAUAAAGAGCUAGUUAGAAAUUAAAUUGUGGCAUCGUCAGUUAUUGAAUCCUCUAAGGGAGGAUUGGAUCAUACUCACCUAUUCAGUUUUGGCUUGGCGGUGGUCGCUCCCCCCAAGCAGUGCACUCCGGAGUGUGUCAUUAAAUGGGUUGAUCGUAUGAGUGUAGUACUCUGAACUUUGACAAAUUGCGAAGUUCGAAUGUUAGAAUUAUAAUUGGAACUAUUCUACAGCUUUUAGAGGAUUGUCAAGAGGUUUCAGUAAAUUACGGGAGCAAGUAGAUAGUUGGAUGUGGAAAAGUGCAUUGUAAAAUGCACUUUCUAAAUGUAUUACCCCAAGGUUGGUCAAUUAUGAAGUUUGAUGAGUGGGAUUGGUAGUGGGAGCCAAUCCACAUCUUUUAAAGAGUUGUAGUAAGGUUCUUAACAAGUUAAAGGGGUGAUCGAACAGCUCGAAAAUCGAAAGUGCAUUGAAAUUUCGAAUUGCAGGAUUUUGCAUUGUGUACCAGUACAGACUCAAUGUUGUACCGGUACACUUCGCAGCAGCUGCGUGGCUGAGGUGAUUUUGGUCAUUUCACCUCUUGAGCUUAUCCCUUAUCAGCUCAGCCCGAGCCCCAGCCUGUUCUUAUCAUGUUGGAGGCAGGGAACAGGGUAAGAACCAUUUCUCUCUUUCUCUCUCUAGAUUUUUUUCCAUUUUGAGGUGGAAAAGGGGAUUUGAGCCUAUUUCUUUCUCCUCUUUUGUGUGCGCUGGUUUGAGAGGCAUGGAGCAGCUGUGGAAAGGUGGAGGAAGGAUUUUUGGAGGUAAUUUACAGCCCUAACCCAGCUUGUAGCUGAAUGGAAGUUAGGUGAGAUGAACUACUCAAUUUUCUCUCUAGUUUUAAGCUAUACUAGGGAAGUGGAACCUGAACUUGGUUUGUUUGUCCCCAGCUGAAUUGGGAAGGUUUAAAGCAGCCUUAGAGGAAUUGUUUUGCUGUGAGGUUGCAACCUGGAACCAGGGACAAGCUGAAAUGAUGUUUGAAAGGUGAUUAACUAGCUAUUUCUCUACCUUAAUGCUGAAAAUAGUGAUGUUAGUGGUAAUUUGGGGCUGUUUUGGAUUAUUACUCGCAGCAGGAUAAGAAAGUUUUGUAGCUAAGCCCUGGGUGACUCUUGCAGCUGGUUUUGCAUUGGUUUUGCAAUUCGAAGCCAAAAGGAAAGCUCAAUUGAAGUUGUGGGUAAGUAUGCUAUCUAGUAGCUCUUGGAUUAGAGGUAUUAGUUAUAACUUUAGUGCAGUUUUGAGUUAUGAUCACAGCUGGUUUGCAGCAGGGAUAAUACUCCCUUCGAGUUGAAUUUAGAUGACCAUUGUGAGCUGGAUUUGGAGUGCUUCACCCUGUGUGAAGUGAAGGUUAAACUUUGGUUUAAAUCUAGGUAAGAUUCUAGCUUAAACUAUGUAAAUAUGAGAGAUUUACAUAUAGAGAUUAAAGUUGAACCCCUAGCUGAAUUUGAACUAUUGUUUGAGUGCUUAGAGGCUUCGGAUCACUGCGAAUGGAAUUUUAGUGAUUCUGAAAGAUUGGUUAUGAAGUGCUUCAAUUUGGUAUAAAGGAAAGUUCAUGAGCGAAUUCUAAACUAGGUAUGAAUCUACCUAGAUUGGAUGCAUAUAUAAGAUUUCUAGUAAAAAGUGAAGUUCAACUUCUAAUUGAAUUAGUAUAUGUACCAAGAUACUUGGAAGCUAAAGAAUAUCUUUGCUUGCAGGAUCGACGAGAGCCAACAGCGAUUAGGUGGGUCGGACCUUCCCGAAAUGGGUGAAUUUCCCCUAUGUCUCCUUUGAUAUUAUGAGUGAAUAUGUUAUACGCUUAUGUGAACCUAUGUGUAUUUGGAGGAAUUAAGACUCGCAUUCAUGUGUAUAUCAUAUUGGUUAUAAUAGCAUCUCUACGCAGUAGAGAAGGAAUUACGAAAUUGCCUAUUCCUCAUAGAUCAUCUAGCUUUACUGGACAAUAAGGGAAUUAUGUACUAGGGAGGAAAUCAUGCUAAUCUAUGUUCUAAACAUCGUGCUUGAACUUUUAGUCUAUUUUAUAUACUGAGGUUAUUCAUACAUUCAUAUAGAAUCAUACAAAUGUAUAUUGAAUAAUGUUUCACAUAUUUGUGCUAACCAGUAGGUUAUUGUUUCCAAGUGAUAACAUUAGCAUGAGUUUCAUGUCUGAAUAUGAUCUAGUUCAGCAAUCAGAACUGGAUCUUUUGAUAUAGCGUGAAUAUACAUUGUUGAAAAUAAGCUAGUGGAAUGACUAGCAUACUUAUGAGGAAUACUGGUACAAUCAAGCAGAAGUACUUAUAUGUUACUUAUUUACUUCAAGUAGCAGAGGCCUAUGUAGAACUCUAGAAUAUGUGUCAUGAGUGGUAUUACUUCUGAGUGAAUAGUUGAGUAUGAUUUUAGUAAAUCACUUUCCUUAUGUAUAGGGAGUAGUGAGAGAACUCUAUGUGAGUAUAUGUGAGUAUAGCCACUGUGAUGUAAAGAAUAUACUUGUUGAGUUAUACUAGCUAUUGGUCGAAUUAUGUCAGCAAAUAAUUGAGAGUGGCUUAGCGACAGAUUGCUCGCUCAUGUACGAAGUGAGCGCCAAAAUGGAUUGCCGGGGGUAGUGUUAACGUCCAUAAGGUCAUCAGAUGCAGCAUAUGCCAGACAGCCUUCGGGUGGGUCUUUAUACCAAACAGCCUUCGGGUGGGUCUUUAUACCAGACAGCCUUCGGGUGGGUUUUUAUACCAGACAGCCUUCGGGUGGGUCUUCAUGCCAGACAGCCUUCAGGUGGGUCUUUAUGCCAGACCACCUUCAGGUGGGUCUUCGUGCUAGAUAGCCUUCGGGUGGGUCUUAUAAGAUUUAAACAUCGAGUAAUUAAAUGACAAGUGAACCUAUUGAUGAACAAACUAGAAAGUUGACAUCUUGACGUUAGUGACAUAGUGACAAUGUGUUACACUUUUACUGGUGUAGGAAAUAAUUCCAUGAUAUCAUCAAUUAUUUCAGCAAUAAUGAAUUAUCUUACAUACCAUUAGGCAUAAGGCUAGUUAAAUUGUCAACUAGCAUGAAUGAUAGAACUUAUCAGGAUAAACGAGUACCUACAACCUGUGGAUUGGUGCAUUUAUAUAUUGAUUUGGAGUAAAUAGCAUGAUUGAUUUAUUUCAAUACUUGUUGCAUUUACUUGUUUAUUUACUACUGUUUACCUUUACCACAGUUGACCUAGUGGUGUACUUCGCCACUCCCGGCGGCUUACCCACUGGGAACUAUUGUUUAAUAGUUCUCACACCCUCUUUGUUGUUGUUUUUACAGAGCCUUCCACAGCGGGAAAGGCUAGGGUUCUUAGCGAGGGGUCAGCGACUAGCUAGAGCUUCCUCGAUGCUAGAUAGAUGGGACCACUUCAGCUUCUCUAGUCUAGUACUGUGUUUUAUAGUGAGAUUAUGUAAAUUAUAGUUGUUCUUACCUGUUGUAAUAAGAUGUUGAGUUGUAUAAGUUUUAACUUUUAAGUUUUGCUCUGAUUACCUGGUUAGAAGUGUAUGCUUUUACUAUAUGGUUUGUAGACGCCUUGUGUAUACUUGAGUGGUGGUGUACACGGCGGGUCUGUGCACGCGACUGGUGAGCUUCCGCUGAAAUCCAGGGCGUGACAAUAAGCCUUCCCAGUAGAUGAUCCCGUCGGGAGGCAGCUUAGGGCCCGAUACUUAGGGAUUGCGUUGGUGAGUUAUAGUUAACCAAAUGGUUAACCAGAUGGAUUGGGUAUUGAUUAUUAGUAGCAUGCAUGCAUCAAUUUCAGAUAUUAUCUACUGUUUCUUUCAACUUUCUACAGGCAUUGUAGUAGUUACAUGUUAUAGCUGAUUACUAUCUACUCUCUUUCUUGUCUACAUAUGCCUGAAUAGACCUAGUGGGUGAGUCGGCGAGGUCGGCAGCCGAACCCACUGGAAACUUUCAGUAGUUCUCACCCCACUAACCAUACAGGUUCUAGUUCGUGUGAGGUGGUCGAGGAUCUUGACAGGGACAGCGCGUUAUAGAUAGCGACAUCCAUUGAGUAUAGUUGUACCUUAUUUAUUUCAUCUGUUUAUAGUUGAUGAAAAUAAAUGUAUAUUAUUCAUUUGAGAGAUGGCAAUGUAUAUAUUGGAAGAAUGAGUGUAAUAAUUAUAUAAGCUUUGUAUUUGAUUUAAAGUAAUCAAGAUAUAAUGUAUGAAUGCUUUAGUUAGUUUACUUAUACUUGCUUGUGUUGCUUGCCCUCGUGCAAGCCAUGUAUAUUGAAAUUUUUUCUGGGCAUUUCUUUAUACAUGUUUGUUGUUGUUGUUGAG